rnacentral:rRNA from 1 species
UACGGGGGGGGCAAGCGUUGUUCGGAAUUACUGGGCGUAAAGGGUUCGUAGGUGGUCUGCUAAGUCAUACGUGAAAUCCCUCAGCUUAACUGGGGAACUGCGUCUGAUACUGGCGGACUUGAGGACAGGAGAGGAACGCGGAAUUCCAGGUGUAGCGGUGAAAUGCGUAGAUAUCUGGAGGAACACCGGUGGCGAAGGCGGCGUUCUGGACUGUUUCUGACACUGAGGAACGAAAGCCAGGGGAGCAAACGGG